rnacentral:rRNA from 1 species
AUACGGAGGAUGCGAGCGCUAUCCGGAUUUAUUGGGUUUAAAGGGUGCGUAGGCUGUGCGUUAAGUCAGGGGUGAAAUGCCGUCGCUCAACGACGGAGCUGCCCUUGAUACUGGCGUGCUGGAGUACGGAUGCCGUUGGAGGAAUGAGUGGUGUAGCGGUGAAAUGCUUAGAUAUCACUCAGAACACCGAUUGCGAAGGCAUCUGACGAAUCCGUCACUGACGCUGAGGCACGAAAGCGUGGGGAUAGAACAGGAUUAGAUACCUUGGUAUUCCACGCCGUAAACGAUGAUGACUAACCGUCGGCGAUAGACAGCCGGUGGCCAAGCGAAAGCGAUAAGUCAUCCACCUGGGGAGUACGUCGGCAACGAUGAAACUCAAAUGAAUUGACGGGG